rnacentral:rRNA from 1 species
AGCAGCAGCCGCGGGAAUACGAGGGGGGCAAGCGUUGUUCGGAAUUAUUGGGCGUAAAGGGUGCGUAGGCGGCUUGACAAGUCUUGUAUGAAAACUAUGGGCUCAACCCGUAGUCUGCACGGGAAACUGUCGGGCUUGAGAAUGGGAGAGGUGAGUGGAAUUUCCGGUGUAGCGGUGAAAUGCGUAGAUAUCGGAAGGAACACCUGUGGCGAAAGCGGCUCACUAGACCAUUUCUGACGCUGAUGCACGAAAGCUAGGGGAGCAAACAGGAUUAGAUACCCCCGUAGUCCCUGUCUCUUAUAC